rnacentral:rRNA from 1 species
UACGUAGGGGGCUAGCGUUGUCCGGAAUCAUUGGGCGUAAAGGGCGCGUAGGCGGCUCGGUAAGUCCGCUCUGAAAGCCCGGGGGCUCAACCCCGGGAGGCGGGCGGAUACUGUCGGGCUAGAGUCCGGAAGAGGCGAGUGGAAUUCCUGGUGUAGCGGUGAAAUGCGCAGAUAUCAGGAGGAACACCAAUGGCGAAGGCAGCUCGCUGGGACGGUACUGACGCUGAGACGCGAAAGCGUGGGGAGCAAACAGG